rnacentral:tRNA from 1 species
UCUUUGGUAGCUUAAAGGUAAAGCAUAUGACUGUUAAUCAUAGAAGUGUAGGUUCAAGUCCUAUCCAGAGAG